rnacentral:rRNA from 1 species
CAGCAGCCACGGGAAUACGUAGGGUGCGAGCGUUAAUCGAAAUUACUGGGCGUAAAGCGAGCGCGGACGGUUACUUAAGCAGGAUGUGAAAUCCCCGGGCUCAACCUGGGAACUGCGUUCUGAACUGGGUGACUAGAGUGUGUCAGAGGGAGGCAGAAUUCCACGUGUAGCAGUGAAAUGCGUAGAGAUGUGGAGGAAUACCGAUGGCGAAGGCAGCCUCCUGGGAUAACACUGACGUUCAUGCUCGAAAGCGUGGGUAGCAAACAGGAUUAGAUACCCGUGUAGUCCCUGUCUCUUAUAC